UACGUAGGGUGCAAGCGUUGUCCGGAAUUAUUGGGCGUAAAGAGCUCGUAGGCGGUUUGUUGCGUCGGCUGUGAAAUCCCGAGGCUCAACCUCGGGUCUGCAGUCGAUACGAGCAAACUAGAGUGUUGCAGGGGAGACUGGAAUUCCUGGUGUAGCGGUGAAAUGCGUAGAUAUCGGGAGGAACACCUGAGGCGAAGGCGGGCUACUGGGCCGAUACUGACGCUGAUGCGCGAAAGCCAGGGGAGCGAACGGG
rnacentral:rRNA from 1 species